UUGAACUACGCUGUCAUCACCCUCAUUCCUAAAGUUAAGGGUGCGGAUAUCAUCUCUCAAUUUAGACCUAUCGCUCUCAUCAAUAACUUUGCAGAAUUCCUUGCCAAAGGUUUUGCCACGCGCCUUUCCCCUGUCUCUCAUCAGGUACUUAGUCCUCUCCAAUCAACUUCUGUCAAAGUGAGAUUCAUUCUUGAUGGUAUCCCGUGUCUUCACGAAAGAGUUCAUGAUAUUCGGGUGCGAGGCACCAAGGCGGUGAUCCUUAAGCUCGACUUUGAGAAGGCCUACGACUCGGUCAGUUGGAAGUUUCUGCAUGAGCUCUUGGUGGCAAAGGGUUUUGAUGGGGCAUAUGUGCAUAGGAUUAUGUAG
rnacentral:rRNA from 1 species